rnacentral:rRNA from 1 species
AGUGAACGCUGGCGGUAGGCCUAACACAUGCAAGUCGAACGGCAGCACAGUAAGAGCUUGCUCUUACGGGUGGCGAGUGGCGGACGGGUGAGGAAUACAUCGGAAUCUACUUUUUCGUGGGGGAUAACGUAGGGAAACUUACGCUAAUACCGCAUACGACCUACGGGUGAAAGCAGGGGAUCUUCGGACCUUGCGCGAUUAAAUGAGCCGAUGUCGGAUUAGCUAGUUGGCGGGGUAAAGGCCCACCAAGGCGACGAUCCGUAGCUGGUCUGAGAGGAUGAUCAGCCACACUGGAACUGAGACACGGUCCAGACUCCUACGGGAGGCAGCAGUGGGGAAUAUUGGACAAUGGGCGCAAGCCUGAUCCAACCAUACCGCGUGGGUGAAGAAGGCCUUCGGGUUGUAAAGCCCUUUUGUUGGGAAAGAAAAGCAGCAGGUUAAUACCCCGCUGUUCUGACGGUACCCAAAGAAUAAGCACCGGCUAACUUCGUG